AGUCCCGCUACCAGGAGCUGCUGCUGGUUUUGGGCCUCAUGAUCCGGUACUGCGCUGCUGCGGUAGGCCAGGCCUCGUGCCCACCAGCCCCAGCCCAGCCUCGCACUGACUGCCCUCUGCUUUGGUGAGGGCACAUAGGGCCACUGCCGUGCUGUCAGGGAAACCAGACAAUAUUAACAGAGCCUGGGGACUGAACAGAUCGAGAGCAGCCCUGCCAAGAAGGACUUGGAAAUGCUGGUGGACUCAAGGCUUAACAUGAGCCAUCAAUGCUCAGUUAAAGCCCAGAAAGCCAAACAUGGCCUGGGCUGCAUCCAAAGCUGUGUGGGCUGCGUGGGAGGCAUAGGAUUCUGCUCCUGCACUCUGGUGAGGCUCCACCUCCAGUACUGCAUCUCUCUGGGGUGCCAGCACAGGAAGGACAUUGACCUGUUGGAGCAAGUCCAGAGAAGGCCACCAAAUUGAUGAGAGGUACAGAGACCUCUCCUAUGAGGAAAGGCUUUACAGAUUUGGGAUUGUUCAGCUUGGAAAAGACAAGAUUUUCAUAGUAACCUAAUUCCAAGCUUUCAGUAGGUGAAGGGAACUUCCAGUGGGAUGUCGCAGAACUGCUGGACACAGCCCUACCCGAGCAAUGGAGUCACGGUGGCUGGAGAAAACAGCUCUGAAGCACAGCACCUCCAUGAGCUGCGGUUUCACUCGCCUCAGAAUUUGCAUAUGAAAAUCUCUGAAUGGAAAGGUGACAUAGUGUAAUGAAAAGUAAUGCAGUUUUCUCAUGUUUUUUUGUCUAUAGCGCGGUCUCACCCUGGCCAAUAAUUAAGAACGAUCCCGACUUUGAAUUUGGGUUUUUUUUCAGGUUUUCUGUCCAUUAUUCCCUUAAUUUAAAAACUCCAAAAAGAACGAAAAAAACCCAACCAACCAACCCACCAAAAGUUAAAAAAAGAAAACCAAGCACAAAACGAACAAAAGCCAAUCAAAGACCCAAAAAAAAAAAAAAAAACCAAAAAAACCCCCCCCCCAAAAAAAAAAAAAAAAAAAAAAAAAACCUCCACCAAAGUAUGACCAUUUAGUAAAACAUGAAAAUAUUUCUGGUGAUUUUUGAAGAUAAAUAAUAGGAAAGUACUUAAACAUGUAAUCUAUAUCUCAACUUUUUCAGGCCAUUCUUUUUUCAGAUGAAUGAGUGAAGUGUCCCUCUCCUUGUGAGCUUAAGCGCUAAAGAUUUGAGUACUGUGUUUAUCCUGGAAAAUAUUCUAUUCAUUUUAACUAGUAUCUUUAGCCUUGAGAUGCUUACAGAGUGGUUUGGAAUCUUAGAGAAGUAAAGACAAAAACUCAUUAGUAAUUAAAUAAUUGCUGUUUAGUGAUUAUGUCAUUAAAUCAUUUUGUUAUUAUAGUUUAGUAGUUAAACAAUUACUAAACUGUGCCCUUCUGCCAAGGAAGGAUGAAAGAAGAGAGAAAGAAAUAUUCUUAAUAUUAGGCGGAAAACAGAGCUAAAGGAUAGGAACCAGAGUUAAACUUAUUUGAAGCAAAGUGACUGGGAAACAGUCCAUUGACUUGGAACACACAUUUUCAGCUACUAAUUUACCUACUGAGAAAUCAUUGCAGGUGUUUAUGUUCCUUCUAAAGCAAGAUAAACAGAAAGAAAAUAUGAAGAUUGCAAGAUAAAACAUUGAAAAAUUGCAAAGUAACAAAAUCACCAUUCACUCUGUACAUUUUUGUAGUAAAAUUUGUGCAUUCCAGUGGUGCACAGUUGCAUACUGUCUGUUCUGCAAAGCCCUAAGUCCUUGGACAGAUUGGUGUGAAUGUCUCACACCAUCCCACAAAGGUAUAGGAACAAACCAGAGUUUAUCAAGUGAAAAUUAAUAAUCAUUCAUUCAUAACUCUAAAACACAAAUAAUAAAGGAUAGGAAAUAGUCCCCAUAAUCAGGAAAGAAUUACUGGGAAAUCUGCAAACAUAUGAUGCACUCUAAAGAAAAACUUAGCAGGAGCUGAUAGGAGAGAGCAAUUGAAUUUCAUGCAGUUGGGCAGCAUUCAUGCAUUGUUGACUGUAGCAGUGCAGCUAAGCUUGAAAGUUGACUAGUCUGAAUUACUUCAUCUGUUAUUACAGUCUACUGGCCUGGGACUCAGUUGCUAAAGAGCCAUUCCUUCAUCUAUAGAAAGGUAUUGACAGCAAUCUCUCAUCAGUUUCUGGGUUUUGCCUUAAAAAGCACAAUCUGUGCCAGAGAAAUUGAUUGAUUGCCAUAUUCUUCAGCGAUACAAACUGCUUCUAUUGCUUGUUGCAGGUUAAAAAAAUUGGAGGAAGCACUACUAAACUACUGUGACAAAUACACCUAAUGAGGAUUUUUUUUUUUUUUUUUUUUUUAAAUUUUAAACUCUCCUAAACUCCAUGUUGUGUCUAGUCACUAUUUGAACGAUCUGGGAGUCAGAGGGCAGAGUCUAGUCCUAAUUUUGCAUGUCAGUAAAACACGUGGAGCAGAGUGGGGAUGUCUUGCUCAUUAGCACUGAAGUUUGGAUUUGUUUAAUAUUGUUUGUUAUUCUUUGAGGCACUAGACACAGACAGCAAGUACCAACCGGUAUGACAUUGCAACUGGAGCUGCUGCCAAAGCUUCAUUAGAAUAGAUAUGUUCAGAUGGGAAGCCUGUAACUAUGAAUGCACAAACAGAUACUAAAUGAACAUCUGCAACACAAACAUUAUUCAACACAUGUAUGGUUUACUCAUUUAUUCCAUAAGGUACGCUUGUAAAAUUGAUUGCAUUUACUCUGCUGUGGUUUGUUCUUACAGUAUCAUACCUUCAGGAAUUUGGCACAAGUAUAAACACUGAGGGGUGAUCUAAUGUGUUUAUAACAUUAUUUUGUACUGCUUGUUAGGCACAUGUAACGUGUUUAUAGUGUCCUUUUCAAGACAGUAUGAAAAGUCUCAAGUAUGCAGCCCUGAAGAAAGCAUAAGCUUCCAGUCUUUGGAAGUAUGCUUCUGUAAAUGAAGAAGAAAACCCCAACCCAAACUAUAAUUUACCUUUUUAAACACUUCCAACAUAUCAUUAUGCAGAAUAAUAAUAAAAAAUUAGCAUCUAGGAGAGCCAGUGUCUCAUCAGCAUGUAUGUAUUUCUCCUGUCAACAUUACCUAACUCAGGAGGUGAAAACACAGUCUAAACUGAUUAAAGUGAAAAGAAAUGUGUGAUUUGGAUGAGCUUUAUCAGAGUGAAAAUGGCUACAGAGCAAUCACUAUUAAAAAUCCAGUUUGUUCA